rnacentral:rRNA from 1 species
ACGGGAGGCAGCAGUGAGGAAUAUUGGUCAAUGGCCGAGAGGCUGAACCAGCCAAGUCGCGUGAAGGAAGAAGGAUCUAUGGUUUGUAAACUUCUUUUAUAGGGGAAUAAAGUGGAGGACGUGUCCUUUUUUGUAUGUACCCUAUGAAUAAGCAUCGGCUAACUCCGUGCCAGCAGCCGCGGUAAUACGUAGGUGGCAAGCGUUGUCCGGAUUUACUGGGUAUAAAGGGCGUGCAGCCGGGCCGGCAAGUCAGAUGUGAAAUCUGGAGGCUUAACCUCCAAACUGCAUUUGAAACUGUAGGUCUUGAGUACCGGAGAGGUUAUCGGAAUUCCUUGUGUAGCGGUGAAAUGCGUAGAUAUAAGGAAGAACACCAGUGGCGAAGGCGGAUAACUGGACGGCAACUGACGGUGAGGCGCGAAAGCGUGGGGAGCAAACAGGAUUAGAUACCCUGGUAGUCCACGCUGUAAACGAUGGAUACUAG